ACUCCUACGGGAGGCAGCAGUGGGGAAUAUUGCACAAUGGGGAAAGCCCAUCGAUGCAGCCAUGCCGCGUGUGUGAAGAAGGCCAAUUCGGGCUUGUAAAGACACUUUCAGUAGGGAGGAAGGUAGUGUAGUUAACACCUGCACUAUUUGACGUUACCUACAGAAGAAGCACCGGCUAACUCCGUGCCAGCAGCCGCGGUAAUACGGAGGGUGCGAGCGUUAAUCGGAAUUACUGGGCGUAAAAGCGCAUGCAGGUGGCUUGUUAAGUCAGAUGUGAAAGCC
rnacentral:rRNA from 1 species